rnacentral:rRNA from 1 species
GAUGAACGCUGGCGGCGUGCCUAAUACAUGCAAGUCGAGCGAACAGACGAGGAGCUUGCUCCUCUGACGUUAGCGGCGGACGGGUGAGUAACACGUGGAUCACCUACCUAUAAGACUGGGAUAACUUCGGGAAACCGGCGCUAAUACCGGAUAAUAUAUUGCACCGCAUGGUUCAAUAGUGAAAGACGGUUUUGCUGUCACUUAUAGAUGGAUCCGCGCCGCAUUAGCUAGUUGGUAAGGUAACGGCUUACCAAGGCAACGAUGCGUAGCCGACCUGAGAGGGGGAUCGGCGACACUGGAACUGAGACAGGGUCAAGACGCCUAAGGGAGGGAGCAGAAGGGAAUCUGACGCAAUGGGCGAAAGCAUGACGGAGCAACGCCGCGUGAGUGAUGAAGGUCUUCGGAUCGUAAAAAUCUGUUAUUAGGGAAGAACAAAUGUGUAAGUAACUAUGCACGUCUUGACGGUACCUAAUAAGAAAGCAACGGCUAACUACGUG